rnacentral:rRNA from 1 species
AUUGAACGCUGGCGGCAUGCCUUACACAUGCAAGUCGAACAGUAACAGGUCUUCGGAUGCUGACGAGUGGCGAACGGGUGAGUAAUACAUCGGAACGUGCCCGAUCGUGGGGGAUAACGAAGCGAAAGCUUUGCUAAUACCGCAUAAGAUCUACGGAUGAAAGCAGGGGACCGCAAGGCCUUGCGCGAACGGAGCGGCCGAUGGCAGAUUAGGUAGUUGGUGGGAUAAAAGCUUACCAAGCCGACGAUCUGUAGCUGGUCUGAGAGGACGACCAGCCAGACUGGGACUGAGACACGGCCCAGACUCCGACGGGAGGCAGCAGUGGGGAAUUUUGGACAAUGGGCGAAAGCCUGAUCCAGCCAUGCCGCGUGCAGGAUGAAGGCCUUCGGGUUGUAAACUGCUUUUGUACGGAACGAAAAGACUCUUUCUAAUAAAGAGGGUCCAUGACGGUACCGUAAGAAUAAGCACCGGCUAACUACGUGCCAGCCGCCGCUGUAA